AGAAACAACAUUAAACUCGUAUUACACCCAGAGAUUCAUCCAUAUCUAUAUAUUAUAUAUGUGUGUGUGUGUGUGUGUGUGUGUGUGUGUGUGUGUGUGUAUGUGACUCAAAAGCAAAGCUAACGAAUAAAUGCACAUAGACUAAUCUCUAUGCCAUAUGUGACUAUAUUUGCUAUUUUUUAUUUUUAACAGCAGGGUCUCACUAUGUAGCCCUGCCCGAGCUGUAACUCACUCUGUAGAUCAGGGUAGACUCAUCCUCAAGACAUGCCUGCCCUAACCUUCUGAGGGUUGAGAUUAAAGGUGUGUACUACCACACCCAGCUAUGCAUUUGUGCUCCUUUUGUAAGAUUCUAUUCUUAAUAAAACUGCACUAGUCUCUAAGACACUGAUUUGCCCAGGCAGAGGUCAGAGACUAUGGCGCUGUCUAGGACAGUGGUUCUCAACUCUCCUAAAUGCUUCGACCCUUUAAAUACAGCCACAUGUUGUGGUGACCCCAACCAUAAAAUUAUUUUCAUUGCUACUUCAUAAUUUUGCUAGUUAUAAAUCGUAAUGUAAAUUUUGGUAUUCAGGAUGUCUGAUAUGUGACCCCUGAGAAAGGGGUGUUUGGCCCUCGGGGUUGUGACCCACAGAUUGAGAACCACUGGUCUAGGAGCAGUUGCAAGCGUAUGCUGUCCUACCAGAGGAACAGAGUUCGGUUCUCAGCACCCAUAUCAGACAUCUCACAACUGCCUCUAACUCCAUAGCCCCCAUGGGCAUCUGGUGGGCAACAGUGCCCAUUCCCACAUGCUGACACAUACCUAUACAUAAAUGUUUAAAAUAAAAAAAAUAAUAAUUGAGUUUGGUUGUAUAACUUGGGUAGAGUUCAUGAGGCUGUUAGUUCAAUCCCAAGUACCACAAAUACACCCAAGACGAGCUAAUGCAAAGCUGAAUGGGUUAUAAAGCAAAUUCUGUUUCAGGUCUGGACAGAGAGGGCCCAGCAGAUCUGAAAGGUGAAGAUGAGUGCUGACUUGACGGCUUACUCAGUAAAGUAGUCACUGUAUAAGUCUGUAGACCUGAGUUCAAUCCCUCCAAUCCCAGAGAGGCGGAAGGAGAGAACCAACUCCACAAAGCUGUCCUCUGACCUCCGCUGCCCAUCACACAGUGACUGAUGUUGCUUCUCUCCGACCUCUGCUGCCCAUCACACAGACAGUGACUGAUGUUGUUGUCCUCUGACCUCCGCUGCCCAUCACACAGACAGUGACUGAUGUUGUUGUCCUCUGACCUCCGCUGCCCAUCACACAGACAACAGACAGUGACUGAUGUUGUUGUCCUCUGACCUCCGCUGCCCAUCACACAGACAGACAGUGACUGAUGUUGUUGUCCUCUGACCUCCGCUGCCCAUCACACAGACAGACAGUGACUGAUGUUGUUGUCCUCUGACCUCCGCUGCCCAUCACACAGUGACUGAUGUUGUUGUCCUCUGACCUCCGCUGCCCAUCACACAGACAGUGACUGAUGUUGUUGUCCUCUGACCUCCGCUGCCCAUCACACAGAUGACAGACAGUGACUGAUGUUGUUGUCCUCUGACCUCCGCUGCCCAUCACACAGACAGUGACAGAUGUUGUUGUCCUCUGACCUCCGCUGCCCAUCACACAGAUGACAGACAGUGACAGAUGUUGUUGUCCUCUGACCUCCGCUGCCCAUCACACAGACAGUGACUGAUGUUGUUGUCCUCUGACCUCCGUUGCCCAUCACACAGAUGACAGUGACAGAUGUUGUUGUCCUCUGACCUCCGCUGCCCAUCACACAGACAGUGACAGAUGUUGUUGUCCUCUGACCUCCGCUGCCCAUCACACAGAUGACAGACAGUGACAGAUGUUGUUGUCCUCUGACCUCCGCUGCCCAUCACACAGACAGUGACAGAUGUUGUUGUCCUCUGACCUCCACUGUCCAUCACACAGAUGACAGUGACUGAUGUUGUUGUCCUCUGACCUCCGCUGCCCAUCACACAGAUGACAGACAGUGACUGAUGUUGUUGUCCUCUGACCUCCGCUGCCCAUCACACAGUGACAGAUGUUGUUGUCCUCUGACCUCCGCUGCCCAUCACACAGAUGACAGACAGUGACUGUUGUUGUCUCUCUCGACUCCCACUUCCAUAUUUGUUUUACCUGCAGCCUGGUGGGUAAAACAUGCCUUUUCCUUUUCCCUACUCACAUAGGAUGGAUAACAGGAGGUUUUUUGUUUUGGUUUUUUCAUGACAAGGUUUCUCUGUGUUAACAGCAUUAGCACCCUGGCCUACUAAGCAAGUUCCUAUGUAGACCAGGCUGGCCUCAAACUCACAGAGAUCCACCUGCCUCUGCCUCCUGAGUGCUGGGAUUAAAGGUGUACACCACCAUGCCGGGCAUGGUUUUUGUUUUUAAAUAAUAUCCUUUAAAAAAUUGGGGGUGGGGGGUGGGCAGUGGUGGUGCGCACCUUUAAUCUCACCACUUGGGAGGACAGGACAGGCACCCAAACUACACAGAGAAAACCUGUCUCAAAAAACCAAAAAAAAAAAAAAAAAAUUGGGGCGGGGGGAGCUAUUUUGUAUGAGGGGGCACAUGUGUGGCAUGACUCCUGUGGAGGUCAGAGGACAAUUAGUGGGAAUGAGUUCUCUUCCUUCUACCAUGUGGGUUCCAGGGAUUCAACUCAGGUCAUUAGGCUUGGCAGGAAGCACCUUUAACCCACUAAUGUAUUUUGCCAGCCCCUUAAAUCAUUAUAUAAAGCAGGUUUUAGCAAAAAUAUUAAAGGAACUUCUACCUCAAUCAAAAUAGAAACAGCUAACUUCAUUACUAUGUGUUACCAAGGAGAGACCCUAUUUUUAAAACUAAAGUUGGAAUGCAAUCAAAGAAAGCACCCCAGGCCUCCAGAGGCAAAAACAUACAUUCACACACUUUUUUUGGUUUUUCAAGACAGUUUCUCUGUAUAACAGUCCUGGCUAUUCUGGAACUCGUGCUGUAGACCAGGCUGGCCUUGAACUCACUGAGAUCCACCUGCCUCUGCCCCCCAAGUACUGGGAUUAAAGGUGUGUGCACCCAGCUCACAAUUUUUUUUUAAUUAAAAAAAAUAAAAACGGUCAAGACAGGCAUUGUGGCACAAGUCUAUAAUCCUAGCCAAGGGUACUGUGGCAGGAAGAUAACAAGAUCAAAACCAGCUUGGGCUAUAGAAUGAGCUCAAGCCUGCCUGCAUAACUAAGUGAGACCCUGUGCCAAAAGGAGGGCUGGGGAUAUAGCUCAGUGACAGAAUACUUGAUUAGCAUGUGUGUACUGACUAAUUUUAUGUCAACUUGACACAAGCUAAAGCCAUCUGAAGGGAGAAAAAUGCCUCAAUAAGAUCAGGCUAUAGGCAGGCCUGUAGGGCAUUUUCUUAAUUAGUUAUUGAUGGGGGAGGGCCCAGCCCAUUGUGGGUAAUGCCAUCCCUGGACUAUUGGUCCUGGUUCUGUAAUAAGGGCAGACUAAGUGCUAUAAGCCACAGAAAUAUGUAGUAGGAAUUCAGCUGACUAUGGCAAAGCUACUACCUGGAAGAGCCAAGGAUUUUUCCAGAGAAUAAAGCCAAGGCUCAAGGAGUAUUGAUGUUAUUUGGCUUUUAAAUAUAUCGGCUGUCUCCUGCAAUAAAUUUCAUGUGUGCUAUUAUAGCUUCCCCAAUUGAUUCUUUUUCUUAAGAAUUAACAGUGUGGAUUGAUCAUUCUUUGGGCAUAGUAUUUCCCUAUACAAUUAAGAUAUUUGGAUAACAGUCACACAGGCAAGGCUUCCUUCUUCCAGGCUUUGUUUCUCUUUUUUAGCAUUAGAAUCAGAUAUCUCCUUUAGCUAGCAUCCAAGGCCAGGGCCAGCUCAGGACAAAAGCAUUUUAUCUGAAAUACCUCUCAAACACUGAAGGACAAACAGCAGACAGAAUAAGCAUUCCAGACCACCUGCUAGUCUCCUGAAUUAAGGUAAAUAUCCAUACGGAAACACCACCUAGGCCAGGUGGACAUUAGGUAUAUAGCUUUGUUUCUUGUGCAAAUUAAGCUUUAACCCUUCUUAGAACAGAAGGGCUUUUUAUAUACCAGGUACAUCAAACUGUGACACAGGCUGCCUAGCUACCCCUACCCUGCCAGAAAAUGGCACAGCCAAGUUAAAACUCUAAAACUGAGACAGUUAAAACCCCAAAGAAAAGUAGACAGUUUUAUUUUACUCAUGAUUUAUACUAACAUUGUAGACUCCUAACAUUUUACCUAACCAUGUCUAAGAAUGUAGUUUGAGCACAUAAAUUCCCUUUUUCUGAUAUAUUAAUUGAUUUUAGCUCUUAGUUGACCCCACCUCCUUUAACCACUCCCCUUUUGGGUUGUAAAAGAAAGCCUGGCAGUCACUGCCUGAGAAAAACCGCUUGUCUGCCUUUAUGGCCCUGUAAAAAUUCAAGUCUGAGUGACCUUCCCUUGGCCAGAGAAUUGCUGCUUUGUAUGGGUAUAUAACUGAAACACCUGAGAGACUUGAGGACUAGAAGACAGAGACUUGAGGACUAGAAGAGAGGAUUAGAGGAACGAGAUGGGGAAGAACUAGAUGGGAGAAUUACGACAGAAUUUAGAGAGUACAGCAGAAAAACGUAGAGAGAUAUCAUGCAAGAAAGGAGUGAAGGAUGAGAACAGAAUUGAAGCUGUGGAGAUAGAUUUUUGACUCAGAAGAACAAAGUGUAUGUGUGCACUUUAUAAAGAAUAAAGAGCUUGGUGUACUUAGAUUCAUUUCCUCAGAUUAAUUCCUGCCACUGGUAGCAUCUCUUCUGGAACCCUGGG